CCUCCGGGAGGCAGCAGUGGGGGAUAUUGCACCAUGGGGGAAACCCUGAUGCAGCGACGCCGCGUGGGUGCAGAAGCGCCUCGGCGCGUACAGCCCUGUCAGCAGGGAAGAAAAUGACGGUACCUUAAGAAGAAGCCCCGGCUAACUACGUGCCAGCAGCCGCGGUAAUACGUAGGGGGCACGCGUUAUCCGGAUUUACUGGGUGUAAAGGGGGCGCAGACGGCGAUGCAAGCCAGGAGUGAAAGCCCGGGGCCCAACCCCGGGACUGCUGUUGGAACUGCGUGGCUAGAGUGCAGGAGGGGCAGGCGGAAUUCCUGGUGUAGCGGUGAAAUGCGUAGAUAUCAGGAGGAACACCGGUGGCGAAGGCGGCCGGCUGGACUGCAACUGACGUUGAGGCCCGAAAGCGUGGGGAGCAAACAGGAUUAGAUACCCCUGUAGUC
rnacentral:rRNA from 1 species